AGAAAGAAGCCAGCCUGCUUCCCAGCUUGCCUACUGGAAGGGGGAGCACCCAGGUGCGUCUCCGCCCCUCGCUCCCUACUGGCCGCUCGAAGCUUGAAGCUGCAGUUCACUUUCGCGAAUGUAAGGAACCCAGCUUCUGUGUGGUGGGCACUGAGAGCAGAACCGCAUUGAGUCGGAGUGGAGCACAGAAGUGUAGGUCCUUUUGCGCUGUUUCAAGCUAAACCCGUGUCACUGAUGCCGUACAGAAGUUACAGAAUGGGACGCCACCCCAAACAUUACGUCAUCCGCUGACCAUUUCCUUGCGGUCUUCCCACCGUCUAAAUCGCCAUAUAAUCUGAUGGAUGGGGUCCUCGCGCGGUUCAGCUCCUGGGCGACAGCGUAACCCGUCGCUCCUCCCUCUGCGGGAGGGCGUGGACGGGGCACGGGAUUUGGAGCAUGGAAGGAAUCGGGACCUAAAGGAGUCCCAGGACACCGGAACCAGGACUCCCCGGCGCACCCGGAGAGUUUCCGAGCUCCUUUGAAGUAUGAAUCAGAACUUCUGGAUGGGAAUCCUGGAGCCACCACUUGCCCUAUGGUCGCAAUGGGCAAGUCGCUCAACCUCCCAGAUCCUGUUUUCUCAUGAGUAAAACGGGGAUUAUAAUACCCACCUGACAAUAUUAUUUUUGUGAGAAUUAAAUGAGUUUAGAAUGUAAACACGCUUUGUAAAGUAAUUGGCAGUUGGGAUUAGUGUGCCCUUUCUCCCGGAGCCUUGCAUCCUGUGCAUUUGCUCAGGUGCUGUUCCUUCUCUGAGCAACUAAUUAAAGGUCCCUAACCCGAUGUAACCAACCGGCAUUCCAUUUCCACCUCCUCUUCUGGUCUCCCUAUGCGGAAUAACAAUUACUACUCAUAUACACAUAAUAUUUUGGGGGGCUCACGCCUGUAAUCCCAGCACUUUGAGAAGUCUAGGUGGGUAGCUCACUUGAGCCCUGGAGUUCGAGACUAGCCUGUGCAACACAGCAGGACUCUGCCUCUACAGAAUAUUUGGAAAAAAAAAUUAGCC
ensembl:lncRNA ZNF687-AS1 ZNF687 antisense RNA 1